AUCUUUCAAAUCGCUGCAUGCUUAGUUAUACUCUGCUUCUGCUUUUGCUCAAUAGGUAGGAAUUUUGUUUUUUCUUCUAUUUCAAAAUUGAUUCAGUAUCAUUUUAAAAUCGAUUACGUAUUUUAAACAAUAAUUCAAAAGAUAAGGUAAAAUCACAUGAGUAUUGGGUGUUUAAUCCUAAUAUAUGGAAUUUGGCUUGCUUUUCUAUGGUUGAUUCUGAUUUUGGGUGAUUUUUGCUCUUUGGUUAUUAUUAUUAUUAUUACUACUAGAAGCUUGAUUGCCACACUGCUAAUCUGCUCCCAUUGAAGCUGCAGUUUUAAAUUUUUUUAGAUAUUAUUAUAAUUAGACAUUAAAUUUCAUGUUUUGAAAGUUUGAUAGAUAGGAGUAAUUUUGUUGGAAAUAAAAAUGAGAGGGAUAGUUACUAUACUGAAUGUAUUUAUGGACUUGAGAAAAGAUUUAAUACAAUUAACAGAGACCAAAAGGUAGUUAUUGAACCCAAUUCUCUUUCUUAUAUGUAAUAUAUUUAUAUGUAUUGGAUAUAUAAUAAAGAUUAUUAUUAAUAUGCAUAUUUGAGGCUGAUGGUGAUGUGUCUUUGGCUUGAUUCCCCCACCCUCUCUUUUGGCUUGAUUUUUUUAAAGUGAAGUUCAGUGUGAUUUGUGUGUCUUUCAAUUUUUUAGGUGUUAAAGUUAGGAAGCAAAUUGUGUUAGAUGGUCCGAUUAGCUGUGGAAAGAGCAUUGCACUUGCAAUGCUUGAUGCAAAAUCAGAGGAUCCAGUCAAGUUUUCAUUUUGUGAAGCAGAUGAAAAUGUUAGAGUAGCAUACUCAGAUUUGAUUACUUCUUCCAAGGAGACUUUAGAUUCUAUAUUGGAACUCCAAGAGGUCUAGAGAGGUCAUCAAAAGAUUUGGAAGUCUCUACGAAUUUGGUCACAGAUUUCUCAGACACAAGCGGUAUUAUUGUAAUUUUUAAAAUAGCAUCAUCCAGAGACAAGUCAAUCAACAAAUGGCAGAGGAUAACACAAGUGACAACUGGUGCUGCUGCCAUUAAAGGCAAAUUGCAUGCGUUUAAUCAGGAUAUAACUAAUCAAGUCGCUGCUUAUAUGAGGGACCCCAGUAGAAUGAUCAAACAGAUGCGGUUGAGAAAAUCUACUGUUAGUGUAUUUGAAUCUCUAAGUUGGUCGCUUAAUCUUAGUUGUUAUAGAAGCGUUUUGUGGAUUCCAGAGUAUGCUAAGCUUUACUUUUAACCAUCAUCUCUACUCACUGGCAUAUAUCUCCACUAAACCCUAAACCCAAAUAGGAACGAGCAAUACCAUUUUUUCAGGCAUUACUUACAAUCUUAGAGACCAAACGAGGUUUGUUACCAUGGUGAAGUGGAUUAACUGAUUAAGUCAUCAUAAUUAGUAAAACUAUAUUACAUGGAUUAAGCAUGAACAUAUAUGUUGAUUUAUUAAUACAAGUUGCUAGGGAGGAUCUAGAGACUUUAUAUGCAGAGGCAAAUGCAUAUGCUCUGGCAUCACACAUUUUCUGGGCAUUGUGGGCUCUAAUUCAGGCAAAGGUGUCUCCAAUCGAUUUUGAUUAUCUUGGUUACUUUUUUCUUCGAUACAAAGAGUACAAAAGGUAGAAAGACAUGUACUUGUUGCUGGCAAGAUCCUAUAUUGCUGGAUGCAAAAUUAAUGGCAACAUUCAUUCGGAUCAAACUCGUCUAAAGUGAAGACAGUGACAAAGCAAAGAGCUAAUGUUUUGGUGGCUACGGUAACUAUAAUGGAGAAUGUUGUGUCCUGCAGGAGUAGUUUUAAAAUGUUGUGGUCAUGAAGGUGUACCAAACUUCUCAAUCUAUUUUUUUUUUAAAUUGCUAAACUGAAACCAUAAAAUUCCUUGUAAUGACUGAGACAUUGAAUCUUAUGGGUUAUGAUUUCUUACUAAACUUCUCAAUCU